CUGUCUCCCACUGUGGGGUCAUAUUUAUACUCCUUCAUCAAGCAUCCUUCCACGUGUUUGCUGUAUCAGAACAUCCUUUUGUUGUGCCCAGAUUGUAAAAACCCCAAAGAGACCACCAGGAAUCACAACCCGAUGUUGUCACAUGAGGGUCUUGAUUCAAGCUCCAGCUUGGGCCACCAACCUUCCUGAUGGAACAGGAAGGAGAGUGAACCCCCAGGUCUAAGCGAAGGGGGUUUAUAAAGGAAAAAAACAGGUUUUCCAAGCCUUGGCCUUCACUCCAUGAGAGGGUAAAGGAAUGCCAUCCUUCAAACCUGAUAGCGUUUGUUCAGAGAGCGGAGCAGAGCCGCGCAGCUGGAGAGGGACCUUUCUGAGCAGGGAAAAGUAACUUAGUGUGCUGUCAGAAGCUGGUGUAUGGUUACAAAGUGGUCAGAUCUGCCUGGGAACACCUCAUUGUCUCUCUCCCAUAGUCCAAGAAGUGGGCCUUUAUCAUUUCAAGGAUAUUGGCUUCUGCUUCCUUCAAGGGCAGGAGCCAUCUGCACCCAGAGGAAUGUUGGUUGUUAAUCAAAAGGAGAUUUUGCAGAGACAACCAAUAUCCUGAGUUCUCUGAUGGCUUCCAUGGGGGUCCCUUUGUCCAACAGUUCAAUUAGCUAUAACCUAUUCCUGGCACUAGAGGUUCCACUUGAAGGUAAGAGAUGCCUAGUUGGGCUUUGUCUCCUCAGUAUUUUUGGUGAUCCAUCUAGAUUUCUUUCAUAUGUGUGUAUAUUUUAAGA
rnacentral:lncRNA from 1 species